UCAGUGCAUGUAGGACAGUUGUCAACCGCUCCCGGGGGAAGGGAACCUCCCUAAGUGGAAGGAGAGCAUUCAUCCGGCUACACGAGGUGAAUAUUUAGACGAGAUGUCUUCCAGAUGCAGUUUCAGCAAGAAUACUACAGUUUUCGCGCAUAUGAAGAGAUAUACUAAGGAAGUCAUCAUACUUUCCGUACUGUGUAUAUGUGGUCACUUGCACCCCAGAACUUGUGUUGUAGCUCACACUAAAAAAAAAAAAAAAAACCCUUUGCAGUGACGACAAAAACAAAUCUCAGUUAGAUUUGGCAUCCAGAUAAUAAAGAAACAGACACUGGUGAGACCGUUCCAGACCUGGAACAGAAUGGAGACGAAGAAUGCGGAUGACUCAUGAGGCUCGACCUUGUGUCGACACUAAAAAAAAAAAAAAAAAAAAAAAGAAGAAGAAGAAGAAGAAGGAAAAACAAAGCAUCGACGAAGAAUUGCAGAAAAGUGCCGUGAUGGUGGGCAACUUGCUCGUCUUUCAAGCAUCCGUGAGGAAAAGCAUUGUUGCGUAGGAUUGCGUUUAGUGCUUGAUUACGAAAGCAGAAAAACUGAAUUGAAUGUCUUUGAUGGUUCAUAUCGAUAAUUUUAUAAGAAAGGCUCGAAGCUGAAGGUACUUGAAAGUGGAAUAGAAUUAAUCUUAUUUCAUAACUGAGUUAAAUACGAGUAGUUAAUGUCAUCCUCACACACUUCAGUGUAGAAAAAAAAAAACACUCGAAAUUGAAAGUGAGGUUGUACAACGAACAAGCUCAAGGUAACUGAGGCAGAGAUCAUAUUUCGUGCUGAAUGUGCUUAUGGGUUUCAUGAGACACUUGUGGGCAGAGCUCUCGUGCAUCUGGCAGCGCCAUUCACUCUCCAACGUGCACCACACCUAUCAUAAAAGUCAUUCUCGCCGAAAGCCAGGCGCCCUUCGGUUGUGUUUGUGCUGUAAAUGAGCGGACGUCAAAUGUGCAACACUAGUAAGAAAAUGAGGCCGCUGUAUUGCAUAUUGUAGCCUGAACAUUCUUUUACAAGAAUGCGUGGCCGUAAGUUACUCUCUCUGGUGGCUUUGUGGUCCUUGUUGUUGCACAGCAUCGCUCCCGCUGUUCUGAUUCGCUGCGUCCAAUUUCUUGGGCAAAGAAGGUGCCUCUGAUGACGGGCACGUCCUCAGUCUUCCCUGGUUGUCGAUGGAGAGCCACUCAGCUUUCUUCAGUAUUUACAGGCUUCACUCAAGAGAUCAUGAUCCAGCAGUUCCUACCCUUGAGAACUUCAGAGACAGGUCAAAUUGACUAGUCCUUAUAGUAGAACAUAUGAUGAUACAAGUGACCAAGGAUGUCAUCAUUCCUCUUCUCCAGUAGGCAGCAAUGCCAAGGAAGGGAUUUAAUUAAGUCCUUUUCAUGUUGGGAUUGUAGAAUUAAUUCCUACUAAUGCUCAGAAUUAUGGGGAUUGAAAAGUCAUAGAAUAUUGAAUAGUUAUUUGUUUGUGUUUUGCGAUAUAUCUGUUAACAGGUAAUAGUGAUUUGUUUUUGUUUGUUAUAUACCUGUUAACAGAUAAUAGUGAUUUGUUUUUUGUUUUGUGAUAUAUCUGUUAACAGGUAAUAGUGAUUUGUUUUUGUUUGUGAUAUAUCUGUUAACAAGUGAUAGUGAUUUAUUUUUGUUUGUGAUAUAUCUGUUAACUGGUAAUAGUAGUUUGUUUUUGUUUGUUAUAUAUCUGUUAACAGGUAAUAGUGAUUUGUUUGUGUUUUGUGAUAUAUCUGUUAACAGGUAAUAGUGAUUUGUUUUUCUUUGUUAUAUAUCUGUUAACAGGUAAUAGUGAUUUGUUUUUGUUUUGUGAUAUAUCUGUUAACAGUUAUAGUGAUUUGUUUUAUUGUUUGUUAUAUAUCUGUUAACAGAUAAGUCGUAUGGAAGUUUGUGUGUCAGUAGUAUUAAGUACUUAAAAGCUUAAGCAAUUCUUUGUCUCUAUUUAUUUCUGCCAAGGACAGGUGGGUCAGUUUACUUAGUGGAAUAAAAAAGGUUUCCAUUUAUGUUUGUGGUUGCUUUGAUAAUGUGGACUUGAAUUCUGACUGUUCCUUUUGACUGUUCUUUCAGUGUUUCUUCUCAUCAG